GACGAACGCUGGCGGCGUGCUUAACACAUGCAAGUCGAACGGACAGACAGAGAGCUUGCUCUCUUGAAGUUAGUGGCGGACGGGUGAGUAACGCGUAAUCAACCUGCCCUUCAGAGGGGGAUAACAACGGGAAACCGUUGCUAAUACCGCGUACGAUUCAUGGACGGCAUCGUUUAUGAAUGAAAGGUGGCCUCUAUGUAUAAGCUAUCGCUGAAGGAGGGGAUUGCGUCUGAUUAGCUAGUUGGAGGGGUAACGGCCCACCAAGGCAAUGAUCAGUAGCCGGUCUGAGAGGAUGAACGGCCACAUUGGGACUGAGACACGGCCCAAACUCCUACGGGAGGCAGCAGUGGGGAAUCUUCCGCAAUGGACGAAAGUCUGACGGAGCAACGCCGCGUGAGUGAUGAAGGUCUUCGGAUUGUAAAGCUCUGUUAAUCGGGACGAAAGAGUUCUGCGUGAAUAAUGCAGAAAAGUGACGGUACCGGAAUAGAAAGCCACGGCUAACUACGUGCCAGCAGCCGCCGUAA
rnacentral:rRNA from 1 species